UGGGGAAUAUUGCACAAUGGGCGCAAGCCUGAUGCAGCCAUGCCGCGUGUAUGAAGAAGGCCUUCGGGUUGUAAAGUACUUUCAGCUGGGAGGAAGGGAGUAAAGUUAAUACCUUUGCUCAUUGACGUUACCCGCAGAAGAAGCACCGGCUAACUCCGUGCCAGCAGCCGCGGUAAUACGGAGGGUGCAAGCGUUAAUCGGAAUUACUGGGCGUAAAGCGCACGCAGGCGGUUUGUUAAGUCAGAUGUGAAAUCCCCGGGCUCAACCUGGGAACUGCAUCUGAUACUGGCAAGCUUGAGUCUCGUAGAGGGGGGUAGAAUUCCAGGUGUAGCGGUGAAAUGCGUAGAGAUCUGGAGGAAUACCGGUGGCGAAGGCGGCCCCCUGGACGAAGACUGACGCUCAGGUGCGAAAGCGUGGGGAGCAAACAGG
rnacentral:rRNA from 1 species